rnacentral:lncRNA from 1 species
GCAGCUGGGGUAACGGCAGAUCAACGCAGUAGACGGCUGUGGCUCAGGGCACUGAGUAGUAAUGAGGAUUACCUUGUUUGCAUUCCUCGCUUUCUACACCUCUUGCUUCAUGCCGAAAGAUGGUGAUGCAGCAUCAGUGUGCAAGUCGAUGCCGACUGAAGGUGGUGAUUGCGAUAGCCACUUCGAAGAGUAUUAUUACAA